GAUGAACGCUAGCGACAGGCCUAACACAUGCAAGUCGAGGGGCAGCACGGGAGUAGCAAUACAACUGGUGGCGACCGGCGCACGGGUGAGUAACACGUAUGCAACCUACCUGUAAGCGGGGAAUAACCCGUUGAAAGACGGACUAAUACCGCAUAAUACUAGAUUACUGCAUGGUAAUUUAUUUAAACAUUUAUGGCUUACAGAUGGGCAUGCGCAUGAUUAGAUAGUUGGAGAGGUAACGGCUCCCCAAGUCAACGAUCAUUAGGGGUUCUGAGAGGAAGGUCCCCCACACUGGUACUGAGACACGGACCAGACUCCUACGGGAGGCAGCAGUGAGGAAUAUUGGUCAAUGGACGAGAGUCUGAACCAGCCAAGUCGCGUGCAGGAAGAAUGUCCUAUGGAUUGUAAACUGCUUUUGCAGGGGAAUAAAGUGCAUCACGUGUGAUGUUUUGUAUGUACUCUGCGAAUAAGGAUCGGCUAACUCCG
rnacentral:rRNA from 1 species